rnacentral:rRNA from 1 species
AGAGUUUGAUCCUGGCUCAGGACGAACGCUGGCGGCGUGCUUAACACAUGCAAGUCGAGCGGUAAGGCCCUUUCGGGGGUACACGAGCGGCGAACGGGUGAGUAACACGUGAGUAAUCUGCCCUUCACUUCGGGAUAACCAUCGGAAACGGUGGCUAAUACUGGAUAUGACUCUGUCACGCAUGUGGUGGAGUGGAAAGCUUUUGUGGUGGAGGAUGUGCUCGCGGCCUAUCAGCUUGUUGGUGAGGUAAUGGCUCACCAAGGCUUUGACGGGUAGCCGGCCUGAGAGGGUGACCGGCCACACUGGGACUGAGACACGGCCCAGACUCCUACGGGAGGCAGCAGUGGGGAAUAUUGGACAAUGGGCGGAAGCCUGAUCCAGCAACGCCGCGUGAGGGAUGACGGCCUUCGGGUUGUAAACCUCUUUCAGUACCGACGAAGCGCAAGUGACGGUAGGUACAGAAGAAGCACCGGCCAACUACGUGCCAGCAGCCGCGGUAAUACGUAGGGUGCGAGCGUUGUCCGGAAUUAUUGGGCGUAAAGGGCUCGUAGGCGGUUUGUCGCGUCGGGAGUGAAAACUCAGGGCUUAACUCUGAGCCUGCUUCCGAUACGGGCAGACUGGAGGUAUGCAGGGGAGAACGGAAUUCCUGGUGUAGCGGUGAAAUGCGCAGAUAUCAGGAGGAACACCGGUGGCGAAGGCGGUUCUCUGGGCAUUACCUGACGCUGAGGAGCGAAAGUGUGGGGAGCGAACAGGAUUAGAUACCCUGGUAGUCCACACCGUAAACGUUGGGCGCUAGGUGUGGGAUCCAUUCCACGGGUUCCGUGCCGCAGCUAACGCAUUAAGCGCCCCGCCUGGGGAGUACGGCCGCAAGGCUAAAACUCAAAGGAAUUGACGG